UAAACGGAUGCGAUGACGAUCGGCUGGU
rnacentral:piRNA from 2 species